UACGGAGGAUCCGAGCGUUAUCCGGAUUUAUUGGGUUUAAAGGGUGCGUAGGCGGCCUGUUAAGUCAGGGGUGAAAGACGGUAGCUUAACUAUCGCAGUGCCUUUGAUACUGACGGGCUUGAAUGUACUUGAGGUAGGCGGAAUGUGACGAGUAGCGGUGAAAUGCAUAGAUAUGUCACAGAACACCAAUUGCGAAGGCAGCUUACUAAAGUAUGAUUGACGCUGAGGCACGAAAGCGUGGGGAUCAAACAGG
rnacentral:rRNA from 1 species